rnacentral:rRNA from 1 species
CACGUAGGGUGCGAGCGUUGUCCGGAAUUAUUGGGCGUAAAGAGCUCGUAGGCGGUUUGUCGCGUCUGCUGUGAAAACUCGGGGCUUAACCCUGGGCCUGCAGUGGAUACGGGCAGACUAGAGUGCGGUAGGGGAGACUGGAAUUCCUGGUGUAGCGGUGGAAUGCGCAGAUAUCAGGAGGAACACCGAUGGCGAAGGCAGGUCUCUGGGCCGCAACUGACGCUGAGGAGCGAAAGCAUGGGGAGCGAACAGG